rnacentral:rRNA from 1 species
UACGAAGGGGGCUAGCGUUGUUCGGAAUUACUGGGCGUAAAGCGCACGUAGGCGGAUUUGUAAGUCAGGGGUGAAAUCCCGGGGCUCAACCUCGGAACUGCCUUUGAUACUGCAAGUCUUGAGACCGGAAGAGGUGAGUGGAAUUCCUAGUGUAGAGGUGAAAUUCGUAGAUAUUAGGAAGAACACCAGUGGCGAAGGCGGCUCACUGGUCCGGUGCUGACGAUGAGGUGCGAAAGAGUGGGGAGCAAACAGG